rnacentral:rRNA from 1 species
UACAGAGGGGGCAAGCGUUUGUUCGGAAUUACUGGGCGUAAAGGGCGCGUAGGCGGCCUGCUAAGUCGAACGUGAAAUCCCCGGGCUCAACCCGGGAACUGCGUCCGAUACUGGCAGGCUUGAAUUCGGGAGAGGGAUGCGGAAUUCCAGGUGUAGCGGUGAAAUGCGUAGAUAUUGGGAGGAACACCUGUGGCGAAGGCGGCUUUCUGGGCCUUACCUGACGCUGAGACGGCGAAAGCGUGGGGAGCGAACCGGG